AUUGAACGCUGGCGGCAUGCCUUACACAUGCAAGUCGAACGGCAGCGGGCCUUCGGGUGCCGGCGAGUGGCGAACGGGUGAGUAAUGCAUCGGAACGUGCCAUUGAGUGGGGGAUAACGUAGCGAAAGUUACGCUAAUACCGCAUAUUCUGUGAGCAGGAAGGCAGGGGACCGCAAGGCCUUGCGCUCUUUGAGCGGCCGAUGUCAGAUUAGCUAGUUGGUGAGGUAAAGGCUUACCAAGGCGACGAUCUGUAGCGGGUCUGAGAGGAUGAUCCGCCACACUGGAACUGAGACACGGUCCAGACUCCUACGGGAGGCAGCAGUGGGGAAUUUUGGACAAUGGGCGCAAGCCUGAUCCAGCCAUGCCGCGUGAGUGAAGAAGGCC
rnacentral:rRNA from 1 species